AGGCUUAACACAUGCAAGUCGAGGGGCAGCACAGGUAGCAAUACCGGGUGGCGACCGGCGCACGGGUGAGUAACGCGUAUGCAACUUGCCUAUCAGAGGGGGAUAACCCGGCGAAAGUCGGACUAAUACCGCAUGAAGCAGGGAUCCCGCAUGGGAAUAUUUGCUAAAGAUUCAUCGCUGAUAGAUAGGCAUGCGUUCCAUUAGGCAGUUGGCGGGGUAACGGCCCACCAAACCGACGAUGGAUAGGGGUUCUGAGAGGAAGGUCCCCCACAUUGGUACUGAGACACGGACCAAACUCCUACGGGAGGCAGCAGUGAGGAAUAUUGGUCAAUGGCCGAGAGGCUGAACCAGCCAAGUCGCGUGAGGGAUGAAGGUUCUAUGGAUCGUAAACCUCUUUUAUAAGGGAAUAAAGUGCGGGACGUGUCCCGUUUUGUAUGUACCUUAUGAAUAAGGAUCGGCUAACUCCGUGCCAGCAGCCGCGGUAAUACGGAGGAUCCGAGCGUUAUCCGGAUUUAUUGGGUUUAAAGGGUGCGUAGGCGGCCUUUUAAGUCAGCGGUGAAAGUCUGUGGCUCAACCAUAGAAUUGCCGUUGAAACUGGGGGGCUUGAGUAUGUUUGAGGCAGGCGGAAUGCGUGGUGUAGCGGUGAAAUGCAUAGAUAUCACGCAGAACCCCGAUUGCGAAGGCAGCCUGCCAAGCCAUGACUGACGCUGAUGCACGAAAGCGUGGGGAUCAAACAGGAUUAGAUACCCUGGUAGUCCACGCAGUAAACGAUGAUCACUAGCUGUUUGCGAUACACUGUAAGCGGCACAGCGAAAGCGUUAAGUGAUCCACCUGGGGAGUACGCCGGCAACGGUGAAACUCAAAGGAAUUGACGGGGGCCCGCACAAGCGGAGGAACAUGUGGUUUAAUUCGAUGAUACGCGAGGAACCUUACCCGGGUUUGAACGCAUUCGGACCGAGGUGGAAACACCUUUUCUAGCAAUAGCCGUUUGCGAGGUGCUGCAUGGUUGUCGUCAGCUCGUGCCGUGAGGUGUCGGCUUAAGUGCCAUAACGAGCGCAACCCUUGCCACUAGUUACUAACAGGUAAGGCUGAGGACUCUGGUGGGACUGCCAGCGUAAGCUGCGAGGAAGGCGGGGAUGACGUCAAAUCAGCACGGCCCUUACAUCCGGGGCGACACACGUGUUACAAUGGCGUGGACAAAGGGAAGCCACCUGGCGACAGGGAGCGAAUCCCCAAACCACGUCUCAGUUCGGAUCGGAGUCUGCAACCCGACUCCGUGAAGCUGGAUUCGCUAGUAAUCGCGCAUCAGCCAUGGCGCGGUGAAUACGUUCCCGGGCCUUGUACACACCGCCCGUCAAGCCAUGGGAGCCGGGGGUACCUGAAGUCCGUAACCGCGAGGAUCGGCCUAGGGUAAAACUGGUGACUGGGGCUAAGUCAU
rnacentral:rRNA from 1 species